GAUGAAGAACGUAGCGAAAUGCGAUAAGUAGUGUGAAUUGCAGAUUUUAGUGAAUCAUCGAAUUUUUGAACGCACAUUGCGCCCCUUGGUAUUCCGAGGGGCAUGCCUGUUCGAGCGUCAUUAUAACCCCUCAAGCUCAGCUUGGUAUUGGGGCCUGCCAUCCUGGCAGCCCUUAAAAUCAGUGGCGGUGCCAUCCGGCUCUAAGCGUAGUAACUCUUCUCGCUAUAGAGUCCUGGUGGAUGCUUGCCAUUAAUCUUUUAACUUCUAUGGUUGACCUCGGAUCAGGUAGGGAUACCCGCUGAACUUAAGCAUAUCAAUAAGCGGAGGA
rnacentral:misc_RNA from 1 species